GCCAGUGUGGUGUAGUGGUUUGAGUGUUGGACUCGGACACUGGGAGAGCAGGGUUCGAAUCCCUGCUCAGCCA